AUGUGGCACUGCCGUUUAGGUCAUAUUGGUGUAAAGCGCAUGCAGAAAUUCCAUGCUGAUGGGCUUUUGGAAUCACUUGAUUAUGAAUCAUUUGAUGCUUGCGAACCAUGCCUCAUGGGCAAGAUGACUCCAUUCUCUGAAACAAUGGAGCAAGCAACUGACUUAUUGGAAAUAAUACAUACUGAUGUAUGUGAUCCGAUGAGUGUUGAGGCUCGCAGCGGGUAUCGUUAUUUUCUGACCUUCAUAGAUGAUUUGAGCAGAUAUGGGUAUAUCUACUUGAUGAAACAUAAGUCUGAAACAUUUGAAAAGUUCAAAGAAUUUCAGAGUGAAGUGGAAAAUCAUCGUAACAAGAAAAUAAAAUUUCUACGAUCUGAUCGUGGAGGUGAAUAUUUGAGUUAUGAGUUUGGUCUUCAUUUGAAACAAUGUGGAAUAGUUUUGCAACUCACGCCACCUGGAACACCACAUCGUAAUGGUGUGUCCAAACAUUGUAAUCGUACUUUAUUAGAUAUGGUGCGAUCCAUGAUGUCUCUUACCGAUUUACCGCUAUCAUUUUGGGGUUAUGCAUUAGAGACAGUUGCAUUCAUGUUAAAUAGGGCACCGUCUAAAUAUCCGUUGAGACAACACCGUAUGAACUGUGGUUUAGUAAAAAAAACCUAG
rnacentral:rRNA from 1 species